GGUCAGCUGUUCAGUUCCCAAUUGCUCUUCUGUUUCUGUUAGGUUUCUCUAAUACAUGAACUUGCUUGUGACAUCUUCUUGAGGAGACUUUCUUUCCCAGUGUGGUGAGGAGACAAGGAGUGGAGCACAUGUAAGCCACGGCGCCUUUGUCCGUUCUGCAAGGAUGUUAUUUUGACACUGGUGUGGGGAAUUAUCUUCACAGAGCACAGGACAGAGCUGCGAAGCACCACACGGCGGCAACUCAGCCGAUCGAUGUGCAUGCCGAGCACUUCGUUUCAAGGUCACUCCAAC